rnacentral:rRNA from 1 species
AUGGACACGGACUCGGAGACCAUCAAGACCUCGUGCAAAGAUAUUCUGCAGAAAUAUUCAAAGAACAGACGCCAUCAGAUCAAGAAGAAGUAUUUUGAUACCGUAGCCGCAAAUAAAGUCAGCAUUAAGUCUCCGGUGCCUGAUCUAACGGAUGGUGAAUGGCAAGCUCUGGUGGAGAUGUGGUCUACCCCAAGACACAAGGAAACCUGUGUGUCGAACAAGAUGAAUCGAGAAAAAGUCGUGUACAAUCACAGAACUGGUUCCAGGCACUACACAGCACACAUUUUUGCCACUAAAGAAGAGCGUAAGGGUGAGGAGCUGUCUGCGAUUGACUUGUUUAAGGCCACCCACAACAGCAAGAAGCACGGGUUUUCGGAGCCAGUCAAGACUGCUAUAGUAAUUUGA